ACAGCAGUCGCCGCGGGAAUACGUAGGUGGCAAGCGUUGUCCGGAAUUAUUGGGCGUAAAGGGCACGCAGGCGGUUUCUUAAGUCUGAUGUGAAAGCCCCCGGCUCAACCGGGGAGGGUCAUUGGAAACUGGGAAACUUGAGUGCAGAAGAGGAGAGUGGAAUUCCACGUGUAGCGGUGAAAUGCGUAGAGAUGUGGAGGAACACCAGUGGCGAAGGCGACUCUCUGGUCUGUAACUGACGCUGAGGAGCGAAAGCGUGGGGAGCGAACAGGAUUAGAUACCCGCGUAGUCCCUGUCUCUUAUAC
rnacentral:rRNA from 1 species